CCUCCGGCGCCGCCGAGCUGCGCCCGCUGCCUUCACACCCCGGACAUCCGCGCCACACGUGACACCUGCGGAGACAGCCCCCGUAAGGCUCCUGUUCCCGCCCCCUCCCGCCCCAGGGACCCAGACCCCAGGAGGCCUCACCCCACAGCAAGAGAAAGACCACGAGCAUGGACAUGAUGGUCGCGCUCACUCCGGUGCAGUGAGUGUCUGGGUGAUGGAUCCUAGAACCUGUUCUAGAAGGAGACGCUGAGUUCUCCCCACUCUACCUGGAGCUGCUGAGGUCAAGUGGAGAGUGCCGGGGCUGAAGCCCAGCGAGCCCCUCCCUGUCACACCACACUGCACAUGUGACACCAAAGGCAUUUAUUGAGCAUCUACUGUGUGCCAGAUGCAAAGAAGACAGUGGGAUAACUGGGCAAGGAGCAUUCCAGGCAGAGGGAACAGCCAGUGCAAACAUGGGAGAUGCGGGUGCAGUGAGAAGGAGCAGAGGAGACCAGGAGUUGAGGCGACUGCAGAGCGAUUGCAGAGCUCAUAGACGUGAUGAAGACCAGCUGGGCACUGCAGCGGCUCUGGCUUCUGCUGUGAGGGACGGGGAGCUGUGGAGACUCCCUCUGUUUGGUCCCAUUUCCAUAUUGCUGAGCACCUGCUGCAUGCUCUCUGUCCUGCUCAGAGCCAGUACCUGGAUGGAGGCUGUGUGUUCUGGGUGGACUGGGGG
rnacentral:lncRNA from 10 species